UACGUAGGGACCAAGCGUUGUUCGGAUUUACUGGGCGUAAAGGGCGCGUAGGCGGCUUGACAAGUCACUUGUGAAAUCUCCGGGCUUAACUCGGAACGGUCAAGUGAUACUGUCGGGCUAGAGUACAGAAGGGGCAACUGGAAUUCUCGGUGUAGCGGUGAAAUGCGUAGAUAUCGAGAGGAACACCUGCGGCGAAGGCGGGUUGCUGGGCUGAUACUGACGCUGAAGUGCGAAAGCCAGGGGAGCGAACGGG
rnacentral:rRNA from 1 species